ensembl:lncRNA
AUCUUAACCUUGGGGGGUCUCCCUCCCCUCCCCUCAUGUUAAUUCCCUGCACAGUGCCCACCACUGGGAAACAUUUCCUGUCGGUCCCUUCACUUUAUUUAGGCCCUUCUAAGCAAGGGCCUGUCCCUGUCUGGUCCUUGCUGUCACUGACUGUUUUCUCCAGGCUGGGGCUUUCCUUUCCAUUCCUCUCCUAUGCCUGUUUCCCUUGUGUCAACUUUCCCAGAAUAGGGCAUAAGCGACUUCCAGUUGGCAACAUCAGGGGCCCUGGCCAGCCCCAAACCUCUUUACUGGGCUGUUCCCGAGGUAUCGCUCUGGAAAUGCCCCAUGCCUGGCCUUCCCAGGUGGGUCGCCCUCACUGCCACCCCCCUCGUCCCCAGUGCUCCUCAGUCAGGGGUUCCCCUCUCCUGCUGAGGGCACUGUGGUGCGCAGCCAAUCGGGGUCCUUCCUGUGAAGGGAGGAGCUGUCCACUAACACUAAGCUUCCUGCCUGCCAGACAUCUGGAAGGCCAUUAGCUCCAACAGCAAGGUGGCACACCUGCAAGGCCCUGCAGGAGAGUGUGCCACCCCCGGGGCAGGCUGCACGGGAACGGGCAAGCCUAGCUGUGGCCUCAGUUGAGCUCUAAGCGGGGUCCACUGAAGCAGCACCCAUAUCUUCCCCAGCUGGAUCCCCCAACUGCCCACAUUGGGCCCCUGACCAUACCCCUCCCCUGGCCCCUCUCCCUCUGCCCCAGGUGCCACCAUUCCAGCCUGCCUAGGCCCUGGCCAGGACACAUUACCCUUACAAACACAGGCCUCAUGGGCUCCUAGGGGAAAAUGCUCUUUUGUCUUUUGUAUUUCACUUCUUAUCAGAGGAGAAAUCAUCCCAAAAAGGAUACAGAUGCAAGGGGCUCUUCCCAAAGAGGCCUGGCCUGGGCGGCUGGGGGUGUGGCCUGGCUUGGGGCCUGGGAAAGGGGGUAGAGGCCUGUGUCUAGAGCCCUGUUCUGUCUCACGGGGAACGGUGAGAUCUGAUCAUUCUGGGCCACUUGAUCUCCCCCGGAGGGUCAGGGUUCCUCUAUUGUAAUGGGGCCCUAACUUAAAGCCCCUGAAGUGAGCUGGCCUGAGAUUUUAUAGGUCUCCAAGAAGGAAUGAUGGCAGAAGGGCAGACAGCACCCAUCCUGCCACUGGGAACCUUCCUGGGGCAAUGCCAGGCCACUGGCAGCUCCCCCCAUUCUCCCCAUGCUCCUCCCUCAGACCCCCCAUUGUCCAUGAAACCCAAGCUCUCGGCCUCCUGUAUCCAGCAAUGACUGACCCCAUCCCCCUGGCUGCCAGGGCACCCUCUGCACCUGCAAAGCUGGGAACGACUAGAGCAGGUGUGAGGGACCUCGCAGGCCCUCUCCACAGGGAGAUAGGGCUGCCUUCUCACACAUCCCUAUGGCCAACCUCCCUGACAUGGAGGAGGGAGGGAAGGCGUGAGGUACACAGAGAUGAAGGGAGUGGGGAGGUGGCACUUGUGGGCCUGAUGCCCAGAAAGACGGGAGGUGGGUGGGGGGGUCGGGGCUGUGUUUUUGGUGGCACCUGUUUUGGGUCUUUUCAUGAGCUGGCCCCUCCCUGGGUUUUCAAGAGCUGCUCAGAUCACAACAGGGGGAAUUGGGAGGGAGUGUGGGGAAACUGGACAGAACUGGCACAUACACGACAGAUGUUUGCUCAGAGAAAAAUACAGUAAGAUCAUCAUGCAAAUAUAACGGAAAGUCUGCUUCUCACGCCACUGGCUUCCCAGCCUGCAUGUCUCCAUUUUGCCACCUGGGUGUGGGGAGGGGUCGAGGGCCAAGUCUGGGGGUUGGGGAGGUCUGCCUGCACAUCCAUGCCAGCCCAACUCCUCUGCUCCCAGGAACAGUCCCCUCCUUUGCAAAUGUCACCCCCUAGAGCGAGCCCUGGGCUCAGCCAAACCCAAGUUGAUGUGACAGAGGUGUUCAGUGGAGACCCCCAGCCCUCCUCCCAACCCCCCACUCCAGCACUAGGGGCCAGUGGCUCCCCCAGGGAUGGCACUAGCUUUCCUGGUCAGAGCCCCCUGCCCACAGUACGGGUCUCAGUCCCACCCCAGCAUCUACCCUCACCCCACAGUCUCAGUCCUGUCUGGAGAAGCCCAAGAGGGUGACAGGCCAGGAGCUGGGGAUCCCGGCAGGGACGUGGGGAAGCACAGAAGGCUCCCCCAUCCCGAGGUGGGUAGGGCGCUGGGGGCACAUCGGCAGGUGGGCAAAGCCGCCCGUAGAAUCACCCCCCACACACACACCUCCUACACAGGGGAAGGGACCAUAUCUCAGCCCCCAACCUGCUGACUGCUCAAGACCCCAAAAUUGCUCCUCGCUGGAACUUGUCCGCAGAAACCCCCGCUCUUGAGAAAGGCAGCCACAGCCCAGCCCUGCCCUCUGUCACCGCCCUCCGCUGCCGCCCACACUGAGAGAACCCCAGAGCCCAACGGUUGGUGGCUCUGAGACCAACUGCCAGGCACCGGGUUGCCAUGGAGACUGGGCCAGCUAGGGAGGGAGGGGAGCCCUCAAACUCAGCCUGCUCCCCCACCCCAGGGCAAUGAGGGGACCUCACUGUUUGUGCUUUGUUCGAUGUUGGGUAGGGGUCAGAGGGAAAGUGGCCGUUUCCAUGGAAACAUGGGAGCCCCUCUGGCCAGGAGGUGAGGCAAGGAUGGGUUGGCAGGCACCUUUCCUUCCUGUGGGCAAGCCGAGACCUGCCCAGAGACCCCACAGAGGGGGCCAGGCGGGGCUAGGAUGCAGGGUGCAGACGGGAAGCCCCCCACCAUUCUAUCACCUCCCCUACUGCCCCCAGGCAUCACACUUCACUGUCGUCCCUCUGGGUGGGUAGGGGUCCCCCUAGGCCCAGAGAAGCUGGGGGCCGUGGGUGUGGAGCCUGCACCUGAGAUGCCAUGGGAGCUGGUCUGCCCCACAUGCCCACCCCCAGGCAGCUCCCGGGCUACGUGGAAGACACUUGAAGGAGGUUGGUGGCCUGUCCUUGCCUCUGCUCCCUUCCUACUGGGGACCCCAUAGGGUUAGGAGCCACAGCCCGACCCUGAGGGCACGUCCAUGGGGCUUGCGAGGGAGGAAAAGCACCUGCCUGAUUCUCGAAUCCCUCAGCCCCAAGGGACCUCAGCUUUGGAUGGGGCGAUGAGUGGACCAGCUGAGGGGCCCAGGGGAGCAGUCGGGCAGGGGCAGCACUGGGCUGGGAAGGCAGGAGCCUGAGACUAAUCUGCUGUGUGACCCAAGGGAUUACCACUUCUUUUCCCUGGGCCAUCCAAGAGGAAGGAAAUAAUGUCCAUCCGGUGACCUGAUCCCCAUCUUGGGGGCUUCAGUCCAGCUCUACCUCAGUCUCCUUGGUCCCCAAUCCCGUCUCUAGUCCCAGCUCCCCCCGGCCCCAUUCUCCUGGCUUCCCACGUCGCCUGUCCCUGUCCCCAGCCCCAUACACCCCGGCAGAGUCCCUGGGCAGCACAGUAAAGACGCCUGGUUUCGGUAUCAGUUUGUAAACUUUAAGGAAAGCGUGUCUUCGCAUUUUCCUGUCCAUUAUUGUCGGGUGUUGGUUGGUUCACAGUCAGGUGGUGGUCAGGUGUGUGU